UGAGGAAUAUUGGUCAAUGGACGGAAGUCUGAACCAGCCAAGUAGCGUGCAGGAUGACGGCCCUAUGGGUUGUAAACUGCUUUUAUAUGGGGAUAAAGUGAGCCACGUGUGGCUUAUUGUAGGUACCAUAUGAAUAAGGACCGGCUAAUUCCGUGCCAGCAGCCGCGGUAAUACGGAAGGUCCGGGCGUUAUCCGGAUUUAUUGGGUUUAAAGGGAGCGUAGGCCGGAGAUUAAGCGUGUUGUGAAAUGUAGUGGCUCAACCUCUGCACUGCAGCGCGAACUGGUCUUCUUGAGUACGCACAACGUGGGCGGAAUUCGUGGUGUAGCGGUGAAAUGCUUAGAUAUCACGAAGAACUCCGAUUGCGAAGGCAGCUCACGGGAGCGCAACUGACGCUGAAGCUCGAAAGUGCGGGUAUCGAACA
rnacentral:rRNA from 1 species